rnacentral:rRNA from 1 species
AGUGAACGCUGGCGGUAGGCCUAACACAUGCAAGUCGAACGGCAGCACAGUAAGAGCUUGCUCUUACGGGUGGCGAGUGGCGGACGGGUGAGGAGUACAUCGGAAUCUACUUUUUCGUGGGGGAUAACGUAGGGAAACUUACGCUAAUACCGCAUACGACCUACGGGUGAAAGCAGGGGAUCUUCGGACCUUGCGCGAUUGAAUGAGCCGAUGUCGGAUUAGCUAGUUGGCGGGGUAAAGGCCCACCAAGGCGACGAUCCGUAGCUGGUCUGAGAGGAUGAUCAGCCAAACUGGAACUGAGACAAGGUCCAGACUCCUAAGGGAGGCAGCAGUGGGGAAUAUUGGACAAUGGGGGCAAGCCUGAUCCAGCCAUACCGCGUGGAUGGAGAAGGCUUUCGGGUUGUAAAGCCAUUUUGUUGGGAAAGAAAAGCAGCAGGUUAAUACCCCGCUGUUCUGACGGUACCCAAAGAAUAAGCACCGGCUAAAUUCGUG